UAAGGAAUUUUCGGCAAUGGGGGAAACCCUGACCGAGCAACGCCGCGUGAGUGAUGAAGGCCUUUGGGUUGUAAAGCUCUGUUGUAAAGGAAGAAUUAAUAAAAUAGGAAAUGAUUUUAUUCUGACGGUACUUUACUAGAAAGUCACGGCUUACUACGUGCCAGCAGCCGCGGUAAUACGUAGGUGGCAAGCGUUAUCCGGAAUUAUUGGGCGUAAAGGGUGCGCAGGCGGUCUGUUAAGUUUAGGGUGAAAGCGUUGGGCUCAACCCAAUACAGCCUUAAAAACUGAUAGACUAGAGUGCAGAAGAGGGUAGUGGAAUUCCAUGUGUAGCGGUAAAAUGCGUAGAUAUAUGGAGGAACACCAGUGGCGAAGGCGGCUACCUGGUCUGUAACUGACGCUCAGGCACGAAAGCGUGGGGAGCAAAUAGG
rnacentral:rRNA from 1 species